CUUCCUCUCUGUUACCAUCAUAUAUUUUCUUGCUAAGGUAUUUAAGUAUUCCAUCAAAUACUUUUUCUUAUGGUCAUCAUCAUCAUCCUUUUAGGAAGUUUUUAUACCAUUAUCAUUAACUUACAAACAGUCAUAAAUAAUGUUAAAUUAUAUCUAUGUUAAGCUGAUAAAUGAAAUGUGUAUAUAGAAAUACCAAAUUCUCUAGAAAACUUUAAUUUUCUAAGAAACACUUAUAAUUUCAUAACCUUGUGCACAAGGCUUGUAAUAUCAAAUUCAAGUAAACUGCCUACACUUUUUCUUUAAGACAUUUGACAUGUUCUAAAUUCAUUUAUUAUUUAUUACACAGUAAACGCAAUUCAUAAGUUUAAUAAAUGCAAAUUAUUACCACGUUAUUUAUGAUAAUGUUAAAAACGAUAAAGAGUUGAUGAAAUAUUUAAAAUGAUUAAAUCACUUUAUAAAACUACAGAAUGCCCUGCAACAUUGUGUUGUGCUUUGGAGGCACUUUGCCCCAGACAAAAAAAAAAAAAAAAAAAAUUGUAUUCAGAUCCAGACAGAUGCAAAUGAUCUGGCAGCAGUUUACAGCUACUGACUUUCAAACAUAGCCUACUACAAGUUGUUUUCAUUUAGAGUAGGCUAUAUCAUAAUUUUAGGAAAAGUCAAAGAAUCUUUUUGUUAAUGGGAAUGAAUUACCUGAAAGGCAGCUCCACCCUCCCUCUCUCUCCCUCCUCCCUCCUUCAUCUGUUCAGCAGCAUGUCAGAGCCUGUGGGAUGGAGUUACAGCACAUUAACUUUCCAUCUGGAUGCUGCUCUGAGCACCUUUAAUGAAGACAGUCGCAUCUCUCCAAACUUCACAAGACCCGCGACUGUCCAACACACACCUCCAGCGGAACAAAGCUGUUUUAAAAGUAACUUUUCCGAAAAUACAGCCAAAGCAUGAAGCUCCAGUGCGUUUCUCUUCUCAUUUGUGCUUUACUCGUUGGCGAGUGCUGCGGGUCUCGUCUGGACCGCUGGGUCCGAACUGGACUUCAGUACCUGCAGCUCAACCUGUGCCGGAGGGUCUCCUUACCGGAGAGCGAGUGCAAGAAGCUGUCCCAACUGCACCUGAGCGGGGUGGUCGUGUACGUGACCGAGUCCGGCUCGGGGAAAGUGCUGACGAUCCUGCCGGACUCAUACUCGAGCGGUGCGCUGCAGUCCAAGCAGAGCGGCUUCACUGUGGACGCGAGCGCGGAUGAUGACAGCAGGACGAACGAAGAGCUGUACCCGGGCGCGAGCACGCACGACGCCGUGCUGCUGCUGGACCCCAGUCCCGGCGAGAGCUUCGGACACCCGGUGGCUCUGUUCUAUGUAGACUUCAACAUAACCAAGAAGAAAUGUGCUCAUAUGGACGGCAUUUAUCUGGGGGAGGAGUGCUUGAUGAUUGCUGUGAAGACACAAUGCCAGAACCAGCUGAAGCGGAGAAGGAGUCGCAGCGACCGUAUGGCGAGCCGGGCGAGGGCCCGCAGGAGUACGAUGGACAGGACCGGCCGAGUGGAGCAAAGCAGCGGCCUCUGUGAGAUUCACUUUCUCCCCCUGGUUGUGGGAGUGAAAGAUAGCAACCGAACCCAACGCCUACGUUGUGUAGAUCACCCAGACUUUGCCAGAUGCCCGCAGCCUUUGCCACUGACCAGCCCCAGCACGCCCAUCUCCAGCUGUGAGCUCAAUAAAAACACCCGCCGGUGCCAUCAGCAACGCCUGGCCACACACCUGUCCUGCCGCCUUUACCAAACCUGUGAUCAUGCUGUUCUCCUGUCAGGUGGCUGGCAGGAGCAGAUAACAUACCAACAACAUGCGAAGAACCUGCAGCUCCUCUACCAGAUGUUAAGGAACAACGGUUUCCAUAAGGACCACAUAAAGACAUUCUUUGCUGGGAAUGGACAGGUAGCAGCUAAAGAGACAGAGGGAAUGUAUCCAGCCACAGAGAAAGAGGUGAUCAGGAAUCACAUUUCCUACAUCUGCCGUAAGCAGCACUGUGUGGAUUCUCUUGUUCUGUACCUGAACAGCCCCACACGCAAUGACGGCACCAUGCUGCUCUGGGACCGCAAUAACAACGGCAUUGCAGAUCUGAAGGAGCGUUACUCUGUGGGUGAACUGCUAGCGGAUCUGGCCGGGUGCAGGGCCAGUCGGGUGCUGCUCUUUGUGGAGCAGAGCUACAGUGGAGUCCUCAGCAAGAGACUGAUGGGAUCUCUCAAACACGUCAAUGUCGUACUGCUGAACGGCUUGCCCUCGGUGCACACAGCUGAGUUCUGGGCCUCUCUGCACCCAUCCGAGUGCCUCAUAGACCACCUCAGUAAGAGUUCUGGGAUGCCCCACCUGGCUGAUGCUGCUCUGGGAUUGCUGAACGUGACUCUGGCUGGUGCUCCGUGUAACUCCACCCCUCCUCUCACCGAAGCCGAAAUGAGGAAAGAGUACAUGGGCUGCCAGAACCUCCCCACAGCUCUGUGGUACCAAAAACGGCCCAAGACUGACAAUAGCUGGAACUGAGUGAACUGACAGUUUCCAGGUCUUUCAGGAGGACUAGAACCAACUCUACUGCUCCAAAUACAUAACUCGGACACUUCAGUGGAGUACUUCCAUGGAAAACAAGUAGUCCUAGAAAUAUGACUUUGUAUAAUGCACAAACUUCAAAUUUAUGACCAGCCCUUUCCUCUCUCUCACACACACAAAAGAAUCUACCUGUGUGAGCGCACUUAAUUCACCCGGUGAUGCACAUAGACCUUUGACAAGCUGUUGAGGAACAGAGACUACAUAAUGCACGCUUAAGAGAUCGAAAGAAGAGAUGGACAUGCAGGACACAGAGAGAGAAAGCAUCUGACGUGUCCUCACUUUGAACCUCAGUUCCCCAGCUUGCCACUCCGUAGAACGCAUCCCGUAGGGAGCGUCCCAUGCAAACUUCUCCUCUCUCUGCCUGCCGUGGGGGUUCAGCGCAGGGGCAUCCACGCUCCUUUACCUGAGUGCUCUUCCGUGGGUCAUCGCACAGGGCGCGCCUGGAACUGAACAAUGGUGACAAGGCCACUCUGAAACACACCUUACACUCACUUGAACAUUUCAGGACAAAUCUCCUUGUCCCUCCUUCAGCUCAGUAAGGGACAGGGCGGUCCAGAAUGAUUUAGUAAUGAGAAAUGUUCCCUCACCACGUCUGGACCCUAGCAGACACUGGGCUCUGCAAGCAUGUAUUUAAGUCAGACCUCUUAUCCACCCUGUAUUAACCACUCUGUCCGCAGUAUUCCCUUAUCUCCGCAAACAUUUAAACGCCAGCCACUGAUAAUGUUGACAGUGACAAGAAGGUAUUUCAGGCCCCACUCCAGCUCCUGUGGGAAUUCAUACACAUUCUUCAAAAAUUACAGGCAGUAGGAUAUAAUUUUUCCGCAGGGUAUCUACUUGGUCAGAAAUAUACACUAUCAUUCAAAAGUUUGGGGUUAGUAGGAUUUUUUUAAAAAUGCUUUUGAAAUUAGUCUCUUAUAUUAUGGCUGCAUGUAUAUGAUCAAAAAUGCAGUAGAAACAGCUAUAUUUGGAAAUAUUAAAAUGUUUAAAUAAUGUUGCUAUUUAAAAAUAUUUUAAUCCUUUUUAAAAUCAAAGUUUAUCCUUCAGAAUUCAUUCUUAUUUCCUGAUUUGGUGCUAUAGAACCAUUUAUUUUGUAUCAAAGUUGAAAACAGAUGUGCUGCUUAAUAUUUUUGUGGAAACAUUGAUGCUUUUUUUUCAGGGUUCUUUGAUGAAUAGAAAGUUCAAAAGAACAGUGUUUAUUUAAAAUAGAAAUCUUUUAAACAUUAUAAAUGUCUUUACUGUCACUUCUGAUCAAUUUAAUGUCCUUACGUCAUAAAAAAAAACACUUACCCCAAACUUUUAAACACUCACAUGGACUGCCAUCGAUUUCUUCAUGCUUUUCUCACAAUACUGAUGUAAGUGGGCCAAAGCCCCAUCAAACUUCAGUGCAUUGUAGUCAAUUAUUAACUCCAAGUUUUGUAUAGUUCAGAAAUGUGUUAUCCUGUAAAUAUUUCUAUCAUGUUCUACUUAAUGAAUGAAUUUUAAUGGUCUAAAAGGAUUAUACAUGUUAUUGUUUGUGUUAAAACAUAGCUGGAGUGAAAAGAUGUAAAUACUCUAAAUAAAUUAACUUUUGUACAUAGUCAGGGUUGUAUUUAUUUAGACUUUAUUUUUUAAGUUUUGUUUUAAAAUGAAAUACUUGACCAACUUGUGCACAUUUCACAAAAAAACAAAACAAACAAACAAACAAACAAAAAAAAAAAACACAGAUAAUGCUUCCAUGAAAGGCAGCAGCCGCUCUUCAAAAAGCACAAUAUGAGAUUAUCCAAAGGCUGCAGAAAUCCCUUUAAUAUCAUCACCUUUUGAAAAGCAGUUUAUCUUUUAAAAUUAGUUCAUAACUAAAUUCCUGGUUUAAUGUACACUAGUAUUAUGCUGGUUUAAUGUACACAAGUAUUUUCCAUGUUCAGUUUUUGAAUCUCAAGUUAUUAAUGCGCACAAAAUAGGGCACAAAAGGGGGACAGAUAGUUUAUGUGGUUUGGUAAAGCAUCCACACUUUAGUGAACAUUUUUGGCUCAGCUUAAAGGGGUCUGAUGUUUUUUUUGAAAUCAUGUUUUUGGAGGAAGAAAUUGGGAACAGUAUAUUUCACAGUGUACAUGUUACACAUAUUACAUGUUACUGUAUUUAAAUACUAUAGAUAACAACAAAGCAAACUUACUGAACAAGGAAAGUACAUUAGUUUUAAUAUGUACUUACAGUAUGUAAAUGCAGAGUAACAUGAACACUGAAAUAUGAAGUGUGACUAGAAAUGUUCGUGCCAGCAUUAUAAUGAAAGAAACAUGACCCUGAGCAUGUUACCUACAAUUCCCAUCUGUAGAUGAUCCAGGUACUUCCACAUCUCCUCAGUAUACAGGGAUGGAUAGAAGUGUAAACAACGGAAGUGAUACAUGUAAUCUAUAUAUAUUAAAACAAUGUAACAGAAAUGACUGAUUAUAGUCAUCAGCAUUUUAAAACUAAUGUUUUUUCCUAAGCAUUAAAGAGAAAAUCUGACAUUAUUUACUUGUUUGACUUUCUUCUGCGUGGACACAAAAGAAGAUAUUUUGAGAAAUGUCCUAGUGUUUUUGUCCAUUCAGUGAAAAUCAGUGGGGGCCAUUGGUUACCAACGCUCAUCAAAAUACAGUACAGAAGAAAGAAGUCAUACAAGUUUAGAACAACACGAGGGUAGUAAAUGAGGACCAUUUUCAUUUUAGGGUGAACUAACCCUUUAGCAUAUUGAGAGGUACUCAGUGAUUGGUUGAUUUUAAUGAGACCUUUCCCGGAGAAACACUCUUUGUAGUUCGUUACUUUUGUGCAGUCUGGUGCCCCUGUGUCUGAGAUGAACUUUGGAGCUCAAUGGGCUCUUUACCAUUUUCCUGAUUGAUUUCACACAUCUCCAUUCCUCAUCACUCCUCCAUCAUCUUCAGCAACUCUGCUGUGGCUCCUGUGGUUGUUCACCUUUAGAGACCUCUGACUCUGGGGUUUGCUGCUGUUUCAACCACAUGGCUGUGUACAGUCCCCCCAUGGCCAGCAGCUCCUCAUGCCUACAGACAGAGAGCAGUCAGACACAACAUAAGCAGACAGACCACUUACAGAAAAGAGCACAGAUCCAUCUUUCUGUUUUUAUUUGAAAAAUGUGAGUUAAACUUCAGCACAGCCAACAGUUUUUGAGAUUUUUGACUUUACCGUUAAAAUAGGUAGAAAUAACCUAGACUGAAAACAGCUGCCCAGGGCAUUGCCAAGAUUGCUGCCAAAGUGGACUGGCUCAUCUUAAAGGGACUAGAGAGCAGUUCAGCUUCACAGGGGGUUGGAGAAGCCAAAUGAAAGCUUCCCUCUGGCUCCAGAAAUCACUUUAGGGCAAGGAAACUCUCAGGACCAUCUCCAUUACUUUUCUCAGAUCGCUAAAACAGAGUUAGGAGGGUCGGUCUAGGGUCAAGUUUGUUGAAGCAUCAAUUACUUGGAAGUAUGACAUCAAAAGUGAAGCAGACGCAGUAUGGGGCAUUGAGCUCUGGGAAUGAGAGUGUGUAAAACGUUCUCAUCGUAAUGGAAGUUAUGAAACCAGAAGUUUCAAAUGGACCUGAGGAAGCAUUCUGGAUCAGCCGCAAAAGUGGAUUAUUACCUAUUUAAAUUAAUAACAUGGCCAGUGUUUAUCCUCCAGAAUCCCCACAUCUUUUGGUUAAUAAUAUCCAUAGGUUUUCCAGUUGUUCA
ensembl:lncRNA